UACGGAGGGUGCAAGCGUUAUCCGGAUUUACUGGGUUUAAAGGGUGUGUAGGCGGGUCUUUAAGUCAGUGGUGAAAUCUCCGAGCUCAACUUGGAAACUGCCAUUGAUACUAUUGAUCUUGAAUUCUGUUGAGGUUGGCGGAAUAAGUCAUGUAGCGGUGAAAUGCGUAGAGAUCGGGAGGAACACCAGUGGCGAAGGCGGCUACCUGGACCAGCACUGACACUGAGGCACGAAAGCGUGGGGAGCAAACAGG
rnacentral:rRNA from 1 species